GAAAGAAGACCGAAAUGAAAAUUUGAAAUAAUUUGAAUGAAUUUAAUUUUUUAAAAAUUUUAAUAUUUAUGCACAACUUUUAUUAUUUUUAAUCUUAUCCUAAAGCCCUUUAAUUACGUAUGUUUUGUUUACAUAUGUUUUGUGUUCUAAAUUGUUAUACAACACUUCAAAAUCUUUUUUACCUCAUCCUCCCAUUUAACCCUCAGUUCCGCUUCCUACUUGACUGAAUCUGCCGCCAUGGAAGGGGAUAUCUACACAUCUAACUGCAGAAUUGUUACAUAAACACUUGUGGGAAUGCAGAGGAGAUAUAAUGGUUCCCUUCUCAAAUAUUCCAGGUCCAAUUUUCUCUUCCAAAAUUCUAAAAUAACAUAAUCUGACCUUACCUUUUUUACGUCAUUGACUAAAAGUAGUUCAUGAACCAGGUCAACUUAGAGUUUUCUGUCUUUUUCUUCUGCCUCAGAUUCUGUAUCAUUUGUAGUUUAACAAGUAUGCUUUUGAGUUGCAAAUAACUUUUGAGCUAAAAAUUUCAUUUUUAUGGAUAGCUAAUUAAUUAACCAAUAUGCUGUUCUUGAGACAUGAGCAUCCUUUUCUCUGUGGAUUUUCCUCUAAAAGCUCCAUUUGUUUCUCAGUUGGCAAUUUGCAAAUUUUGCUAGAUAUUUUAAAUUAUGCUUGUGGCAUCUUAAAUGGGUCUGUAAGUAUUGGUAAGUGAUGUUCUGUUCCUAUUCCUCUGAAAUCUUUCGUUUGCCCACCCGAAAACCUUGAUGAAAAUUGAAAACAGAGGCAGAUGCUUCCUUAUUUAUUGGGUUCAACUUCUGAACCCAGUAAUUUCAACAUGGAACAUAAAUAUAAGUGGAAAAGUAAUAGAAUUUCAAGAAAUAUUGAAUUAAAAAUCUAUAAUUACAAAAGUGCAAUGAAUUCAUAGUAAGAACUUAAAGAUUGAACCAUCAUAUCUAAAUUUUUUAGCCGCCUCUUGAUAAAAAUAUUACGGCCAAGAGUGACAAAGUUAUAAUAUAAUGUGAUUUAACUAACCCUAAAGCUAGGUCAUCUCUGUACAAUCUCUUGUAGGGCCCUAUUCAAUUGUGUUCAUUAUUAUUGUAGCAGCUAUAUGUAUCAUCUCUCUCGGUUGUCCCUAUGAUGGUUUCAUGAACUGGAGUUCCAGGUUCUGGUGUAGAAAACCCUUCCUCUGCAAGGGAUGCUCCUAGGCUGUCGGAAAUUCUGAUUUCUGGGCUUUGCGAAGCAAGAUCGAGCAAUAUUUCAGGGGAAGCUGC
rnacentral:lncRNA from 1 species